UACGAAGGGUGCAAGCGUUACUCGGAAUUACUGGGCGUAAAGCGUGCGUAGGUGGUUUGUUAAGUCUGUUGUGAAAGCCCCGGGCUCAACCUGGGAAUGGCAAUGGAUACUGGCAAGCUAGAGUGCGGUAGAGGGUAGUGGAAUUCCCGGUGUAGCGGUGAAAUGCGCAGAGAUCGGGAGGAACACCAAUGGCGAAAGCAGGUACCUGGACUAUUACUGACACUCAGCUGCGAAAGCUAGGGGAGCAAACAGG
rnacentral:rRNA from 1 species